CGGGCGAUGCCGCGGUUCGAGAACGCGCAGGCCGAUACCGAGUCCAUGUAGAUGCAUCUCUUCAGGGAAUCGGGGUUUCCUUCUUCUUUUUCCUUGGUUCCGUGAUCCGAUUUCAUGAUUCUGCUGUCAAAACUGAUGUAGCCUGGACCAUAUUGGAUGAUGACAGUCGCGUCCACCAGACGAAUCGCACAUGCUACACCGUGGAGGACAUUUAGAUGGAAACUGCACCCGGGGCAGAUGUAGAUGAACGCUUGGUUUUGAUGAAUUGAUGGAUUUGUAGGACUGGCUUCUGCCGCUGACGUCAACCUCUCUUUUAUCAGUCGUAUAUGGGAUUUUUUCACGAUUUUAAUCCAUGAUAUGAAAAUAUUUUACGGAAUGAAUU
rnacentral:lncRNA from 1 species